UGAAAACAAAUAAAAACUAAUCCUAAGCAUUUCUAUCCCCCAUACCGUUGACCCUCACCCAAGAGAAAAGAAAUAAAAAUUCCACUCCCUUUCCAAGCAAGGUAAAGCCAACCCUCUCUUCUUCUCCUCUCUUUUGUUCUUCAAGAAACCAACUCCUCUCAUCAUCUUCAAGCUUAUGACUCCAUAUCAAGUGAUAUCGUGUUGCUCUUCAUCCACAUGGCUAUACCUCUAUUUGGUCUUCCACUUGUGUUUGGAAAGGAGCUAAGAACUUAACGUAAUGACGAAAAGGCUGAGGAGCAAGGCAUUACUGCAAAGGGAGAGACAGACGCUUAGGACCUUCCCUAACUAGAAUAAUUAUGUUACGGAUGAUGGGUUAUGUUUAUGUAUAGACGUUUUAUGUUGAGAUGGACUCUGAGAGUCUCUUAUAGAUGAAUGUUUGAAUAGAAUGUCCAUCAGGUGUUCCCUUUAUUAGAUAAAAAAUUUAGAGUGCGCAUGUGUCAUGUUCAUGCCGAUAGCAUGUUACU